GUUGAUUCCUAGCCCAGGGUCACAAACGAAAUGAUCCAGGGAGGUGAUUUACAUUCCUAGCACAGUUCAUAGAGAAAACCAAAGGCCAAGCUACAUGGAAUGAAAAUCUCCGAUUUGGGCUUAUCUCAACGUCACAUGUAACAUACAGACAGCACCAACGCAGAUGCUGGUCCUUCCUUUACCAGACUCCCGUGGACCUGCAACGGUCGUUGUCGCUUUGGAGGAAUCGUCUUCAAGCUAAGGCCUGCCUGUGUUUGGUGAGCUCUGUCCCUGGAGAGUCUCUGCCUAGCAGGAGAAGGGGCCAGGAGUCUCCGGAACCUUAAAGAAAACCAUCAGCCCAGAAGACAAGCAUUUUCUGUGACUUGUGAGUACUGGAGGUGAGGAAGACUUGAGCCACAGACCAAAAGAAAGGUCCCCUGCUUCAGUCAUCAUCUUCCUAGCUGAAGAGAAGAGCCUUGCCCCUGGGACCCAAGAGAGAGCCUUGAGGGGACCACCAGGUGACUCUUUUCCUUACAGCCAUGCUCACUCUUGCCUCCUUUACCCCAGGUGCUUUUUCUGCCUCAAGUUGUGAACACAGCAAGGGCAGGCUGAUGCCUUGGGUCGGCUAGAAUGCGAUAUUGCAGCCAUGAAGGCGAUCCUAGAGAACCAGCUUUCCUUGGUGGGCACACAGCCUCAGUAGGAAGCCUCACCACCUCAUUAAGCACUAUGCUGCAGGCUUAGCAGAUCCUUAGUGCCCAAUGUGUUCCUGGACCUGCACCCUGAGGCCCAGGACCCUGUGGUCACUGGCCACUUGUACACAUGAGGCUGCAAACCUGGGUGCUUUUUAGGCCCUCUCCUGGUGUGGGUUGGUGGGCACAUAAGUCCCAUUCAGAGGUCUGGUGUUGUGUUACUGCCAGGAAGGCAGUCUCCACAGCAGUGGUUAGAAGGGUCCCUGCAUACCACGUGUGACUGUGUUGAGAUUCCUUGCUCAUAGCUAUAAUGUCAUCACUCCUCCUCCUCCUGCUCCUGAUUUGUGGUUGGCAUCCUUGCUGCCCUCCCUUGGCUUGGCCUGCCUAUUGGAAAGGCAAGAAGGACAAAGGCUCCUUGACUGCCCCCUCUCCUCCUGUUUGUCUUGACAGCAUUUGGCUGGCUGACCUCCCACGGAAAGCUGACUUCCUGUGGGAAACACAUCAGUGUCACUCCUUCACCUCACCCUGGCAGGCCCUCUCUUCUCUUGGGUCUGGAGAGGGAGUGCUUGCAUAUCGAAGGGACCAUGGAGCCCACUCUGUGGCCAAGAAGCAUCCCUGAGUCCUUUCCACCAUACAGCCCAGAACCAGCUCCUCUCUCCUGUCCUGGUGGACACCAGGCACAGAGGAAACUGAGCCCCAGGGGACACUAUGGAGUUGUUUGUGCCCAAGGCAGGAUGACCAAAGGUCACUGCAGCCAAGAUUUCAGGGUCAGCCACCAAUGGCCCUUUUUGUCCUGCCACUGUGAAUGCAUGAUCCUCAAGCCCAAAUUCCCCUCCCAUCUGGUCCUUAAAAUAAAUGGUGAGCAAUUCCCCACCUGGGAGG